UACGUAGGCAGCGAGCGUUGUUCGGAGUUAUUGGGCGUAAAGAGCUCGUAGGCGGCUUGUCGCGUCGUCCGUGAAAACCUGCAGCUCAACUGCAGGCUUGCGGUCGAUACGGGCAGGCUGGAGUUCGGUAGGGGAGACUGGAAUUCCUGGUGUAGCGGUGAAAUGCGCAGAUAUCAGGAGGAACACCGGUGGCGAAGGCGGGUCUCUGGGCCGAUACUGACGCUGAGGAGCGAAAGCGUGGGGAGCGAACAGG
rnacentral:rRNA from 1 species